UACAUGGGGUGCAAACGUUGCUCGGAAUUAUUGGGCGUAAAGCGCGCGUAGGCGGUUACUCAAGUCGGAUGUGAAAGCCCUCGGCUUAACUGAGGAAGUGCACCCGAAACUGAGUAGCUAGAGUACUAAAGAGGGUCGCGGAAUUCCCGGUGUAGUGGUGAAAUGCGUAGAUAUCGGGAGGAACACCAGUGGCGAAGGCGACUACCUGGCCUGUUCUUGACGCUGAGGCGCGAAAGCUAGGGGAGCAAACGGG
rnacentral:rRNA from 1 species